GACGAACGCUGGCGGCGUGCUUAACACAUGCAAGUCGAACGGAAAGGCCCUGCUUUUGUGGGGUGCUCGAGUGGCGAACGGGUGAGUAACACGUGAGUAACCUGCCCUUGACUUUGGGAUAACUUCAGGAAACUGGGGCUAAUACCGGAUAGGAGCUCCUGCUGCAUGGUGGGGGUUGGAAAGUUUCGGCGGUUGGGGAUGGACUCGCGGCUUAUCAGCUUGUUGGUGGGGUAGUGGCUUACCAAGGCUUUGACGGGUAGCCGGCCUGAGAGGGUGACCGGCCACAUUGGGACUGGGAUACGGCCCAGACUCCUACGGGAGGCAGCAGUGGGGAAUAUUGCAAAAUGGGCGGAAGCCUGAUGCAGCAACGCCGCGUGCGGGAUGACGGCCUUCGGGUUGUAAACCGCUUUCGCCUGUGACGAAGCGUGAGUGACGGUAAUGGGUAAAGAAGCACCGGCUAACUACGUG
rnacentral:rRNA from 1 species